GACGAACGCUGGCGGCGUGCUUAACACAUGCAAGUCGAACGAUGAAGCCGGAGCUUGAUCCGGUGGAUUAGUGGCGAACGGGUGAGUAACACGUGAGCAAUCUGCCCUUGACUCUGGGAUAACUGCGGGAAACUGUAGCUAAUACCGGAUACGACACCUUGGGGCAUCCCCGGGUGUGGAAAGAAUUUCGGUCAAGGAUGAGCUCGCGGCCUAUCAGCUAGUUGGUGAGGUAAUGGCUCACCAAGGCGACGACGGGUAGCCGGCCUGAGAGGGUGACCGGCCACACUGGAACUGAGACACAGUCCAGACUUCUACGGGAGGCAGCAGUGGGGAAUAUUGCACAAUGGGCGAAAGCCUGAUGCAGCAACGCCGCGUGAGGGAUGAAGGCCUUCGGGUUGUAAACCUCUUUUAGCAGGGAAGAAGCGAAAGUGACGGUACCUGCAGAAAAAGCACCGGCUAACUACGUGCCAGCCGCCGCCGUAA
rnacentral:rRNA from 1 species